GACGAACGCUGGCGGCGUGCCUAACACAUGCAAGUCGAGCGGAAGAUGAUGUGAGGAAGUUUUCGGAUGGAAUCACAUUAUUUUAGCGGCGGACGGGUGAGUAACGCGUGAGCGACCAACCUUGCACAGGGGGAUAACGGACCGAAAGGUUCACUAAUACCGCAUGAGACCACGGUGUUGCAUGACACAGGGGUCAAAGGAGCAAUCCGGUGCAAGACGGGCUCGCGUCCGAUUAGGUAGUUGGAGGGGUAACGGCCCACCAAGCCUAUGAUCGGUAGCCGACCUGAGAGGGUGAUCGGCCACAUUGGAACUGAGAUACGGUCCAAACUCCUACGGGAGGCAGCAGUGGGGAAUAUUGGGCAAUGGGGGAAACCCUGACCCAGCAACGCCGCGUGAAGGAAGAAGGUUUUCGGAUUGUAAACUUCUGUCCUUGGUGAAGAGAAGAAGACGGUAGCCAAGGAGGAGGCCCCGGCUAACUACGUG
rnacentral:rRNA from 1 species